rnacentral:lncRNA from 1 species
CAAUAUUAUGAGUACCAUCAUCACAUAAAACAUGCAACCAGUUAAUACAAGUUUAUGAGUACCAUGCCACCACAUGAAAAAAACAAGCAAAUCCAAAGUUAUGAGUGCCAUCACCACCAAAAACCUACAACAAGUUAAUGCAAAGUUAUGAGUACCAUCACCACAUAAAACUUACAACAAGUAAAUACAAAGUUCAGAGUACCAUCACCAAAUAAAACAUGCAACAAGUAAUACCAAAGUUAUGAGUACCAUGAGCACAAAAAACCAUGCAAAUCCAAAGUUAUGAGUAUCAUCACCACAAAACACACA